CAAGUCGAGCGAUGAAGUUCCUUCGGGAACGGAUUAGCGGCGGACGGGUGAGUAACACGUGGGUAACCUGCCUCAUAGAGGGGAAUAGCCUUCCGAAAGGAAGAUUAAUACCGCAUAAGAUUGUAGUUUCGCAUGAAACAGCAAUUAAAGGAGUAAUCCGCUAUGAGAUGGACCCGCGUCGCAUUAGCUAGUUGGUGAGGUAACGGCUCACCAAGGCGACGAUGCGUAGCCGACCUGAGAGGGUGAUCGGCCACAUUGGGACUGAGACACGGCCCAGACUCCUACGGGAGGCAGCAGUGGGGAAUAUUGCACAAUGGGGGAAACCCUGAUGCAGCAACGUCGCGUGAGUGAUGACGGUCUUCGGAUUGUAAAACUCUGUCUUCAGGGACGAUAAUGACGGUACCUGAGGAGGAAGCCACGGCUAACUACGUGCCAGCAGCCGCGGU
rnacentral:rRNA from 1 species